GAUGAAGAACGCAGCGAAAUGCGAUAAGUAGUGUGAAUUGCAGAAUUCAGUGAAUCAUCGAAUCUUUGAACGCACAUUGCGCCCCUUGGUAUUCCAUGGGGCAUGCCUGUUCGAGCGUCAUUUGUACCUUCAAGCUUUGCUUGGUGUUGGGUGUUUGUCUCGCCUUUGCGUGUAGACUCGCCUUAAAAUAAUUGGCAGCCGGCGUAUUGAUUUCGGAGCGCAGUACAUCUCGCGCUUUGCACUCAUAACGACAGCGUCCAAAAGUACAUUUUACACUCUUGACCUCGGAUCAGGUAGGCAUACCCGCUGAACUUAAGCAUAUCAAUAAGCGGAGGA
rnacentral:misc_RNA from 1 species